GAUGAACGCUGACAGAAUGCUUAACACAUGCAAGUCAACUUGAACUUCGGUUUGGGUGGCGGACGGGUGAGUAACGCGUAAAGAACUUGCCUCACAGAUAGGGACAACAUUUGGAAACGAAUGCUAAUACCUAAUAUUAUGAUUUUAGGGCAUCCUAGGAUUAUGAAAGCUACAUGCGCUGUGAGAGAGCUUUGCGUCCCAUUAGCUAGUUGGAGAGGUAACGGCUCACCAAGGCGAUGAUGGGUAGCCGGCCUGAGAGGGUGAUCGGCCACAAGGGGACUGAGACACGGCCCUUACUCCUACGGGAGGCAGCAGUGGGGAAUAUUGGACAAUGGACCAAGAGUCUGAUCCAGCAAUUCUGUGUGCACGAUGAAGUUUUUCGGAAUGUAAAGUGCUUUCAGUUGGGAAGAAAAAAAUGACGGUACCAACAGAAGAAGUGACGGCUAAAUACGUGCCAGCAGCCGCGGUAAUACGUAUGUCACAAGCGUUAUCCGGAUUUAUUGGGCGUAAAGCGCGUCUAGGUGGUUAUGUAAGUCUGAUGUGAAAAUGCAGGGCUCAACUCUGUAUUGCGUUGGAAACUGUGUAACUAGAGUACUGGAGAGGUAAGCGGAACUACAAGUGUAGAGGUGAAAUUCGUAGAUAUUUGUAGGAAUGCCGAUGGGGAAGCCAGCUUACUGGACAGAUACUGACGCUGAAGCGCGAAAGCGUGGGUAGCAAACAGG
rnacentral:rRNA from 1 species